rnacentral:rRNA from 1 species
GAUGAACGCUGGCGGCGUGCCUAAUACAUGCAAGUCGAGCGAACGGACGAGAAGCUUGCUUCUCUGAUGUUAGCGGCGGACGGGUGAGUAACACGUGGAUAACCUACCUAUAAGACUGGGAUAACUUCGGGAAACCGGUGCUAAUACCGGAUAAUAUUUUGAACCGCAUGGUUCAAAAGUGAAAGACGGUCUUGCUGUCACUUAUAGAUGGAUCCGCGCUGCAUUAGCUAGUUGGUAAGGUAACGGCUUACCAAGGCAACGAUGCAUAGCCGACCUGAGAGGGUGAUCGGCCACACUGGAACUGAGACACGGUCCAGACUCCUACGGGAGGCAGCAGUAGGGAAUCUUCCGCAAAGGGCGAAAGCCUGACGGAGCAACGCCGCGUGAGUGAUGAAGGUCUUCGGAUCGUAAAACUCUGUUAUUAGGGAAGAACAUAUGUGUAAGUAACUGUGCACAUCUUGACGGUACCUAAUCAGAAAGCCACGGCUAACUACGUG